rnacentral:rRNA from 1 species
AGCAGCCGCGGUAAUUCCAGCUCCAAUAGCGUAUAUUAAAGUUGUUGCAGUUAAAAAGCUCGUAGUUGAAUUUUGGGUUUGGCCGAUUGGUCCGUUCUUGUAACGAGUACUGGUCGGUUGGGCCUCACCGCCUGGUGAUACGUAAUGUCCUUUAUUGGGUGUUGCGAGUAGCCAGGACCUUUACCUUGAAAAAAUUAGAGUGUUUAAAGCAGGCUUAUGCCGGAAUACAUUAGCAUGGAAUAAUAGAAUAGGACGAUGAUUCUAUUUUGUUGGUUUCUAGGAGCAUCGUAAUGAUUAAUAGGGAUAGUUGGGGGCAUUAGUAUUCAAUUGUCAGAGGUGAAAUUCUUGGAUUUAUUGAAGACUAACUACUGCGAAAGCAUUUGCCAAGGAUGUUUUCAUUAAUCAAGAACGAAAGUUAGGGGAUCGAAGACGAUCAGAUACCGUCGUAGUCUUAACCNUAAACUAUGACCGACUAGGGAUCGGAUGAUGUUAAUUUUAUAAUGACUCAUUCGGCACCUUA